UACGUAGGGGGCAAGCGUUGUCCGGAAUCACUGGGCGUAAAGGGCGCGUAGGCGGCGUUUUAAGUCGGGGGUUGAAAGCCUGUGGCUCAACCACAGAAUGGCCCUUCGAUACUGGGACGCUUGAGUAUGGUAGAGGUUGGUGGAACUGCGAGUGUAGAGGUGAAAUUCGUAGAUAUUCGCAAGAACACCAGUGGCGAAGGCGGCUCACUGGCCCGGUACUGACGCUGAGGUGCGAAAGCGUGGGAGCAA
rnacentral:rRNA from 1 species